UAGAUCGGCGGACUAUAAAUACUCCUCCGUAUCCCGGUUACGUUAUUAGUACGAGAACGAAGAAGACCGGAGAAACAGGUAUACAUAAAAAUUUUAUAAGCUCUGGAAAGUGUACCUGUAUACAUCGAAGCGAUAUCCUGAUUUUUAUCCCUACCUUCCCGGCGCCAUUCCAUCGCGGAAUUCCCAAAGGCAACUGGAGUUGGAGUUCUGACGCAGUCGAAUAUACACGCGGUAGUACAAUGAGGCAAGUUGUGAAAUUGAUGUCAUAUAUGA
rnacentral:lncRNA from 1 species